GGGGUGAUUCCCUGUUUUGUAUGUGGGCUUGCAACUGGACUAUAUAAUAAUUAGCAUCCGGCUUGGGUUUUGUUGAAGUGUAAAUCUUGUGGGAGGAGAAUAUAAAGAAGUGUAAGAAAUGAUUUGCAUGGAAGCUUAUUAAAAGGAGAAGCCAAAAUCAAACUUAAGAAUCAUUAG